GCACAAGCGGUGGAGCAUGUGGUUUAAUUCGACGCAACGCGAAGACCUUACCAGGGCUUGACAUCCCCUGACCGCGUAUGAAAGUACGUUUUCACCCUCGGGUGACAGGGAGACAGGUGGUGCAUGGUUGUCGUCAGCUCGUGUCGUGAGAUGUUGGGUUAAGUCCCGCAACGAGCGCAACCCCUACGUUUAGUUGCUAACGCGUGAAGGCGAGCACUCUAGACGAACUGCCGUUGACAAAACGGAGGAAGGUGGGGAUGACGUCAAAUCAUCAUGCCCCUUAUGUUCUGGGCUACACACGUGCUACAAUGGCCGGUACAGACGGACGCAAAGCCGCGAGGUGGAGCAAAUCCUAAAAAGCCGGUCUCAGUUCGGAUUGCAGGCUGCAAUUCGCCUGCAUGAAGUCGGAAUCGCUAGUAAUCGCAGGUCAGCAUACUGCGGUGAAUACGUUCCCGGGCCUU
rnacentral:rRNA from 1 species